CAGCAGCCGCGGUAAUACGAAGGGUGCAAGCGUUAAUCGGAAUUACUGGGCGUAAAGCGUGCGUAGGCGGUCUGUUAAGUCUGUUGUGAAAUCCCCGGGCUCAACCUGGGAAUGGCAAUGGAUACUGGCAAGCUAGAGUGUGUCAGAGGAUGGUGGAAUUCCCGGUGUAGCGGUGAAAUGCGUAGAGAUCGGGAGGAACAUCAGUGGCGAAGGCGGCCAUCUGGGACAACACUGACGCUGAGGCACGAAAGCGUGGGGAGCAAACAGGAUUAGAUACCCCUGUAGUCCCUGUCUCUUAUAC
rnacentral:rRNA from 1 species